ACCAUUUGCACUUUCUAGUUCUUAUAUAUGAUGACCUUGGAGGUAGGAUUUCAUGCAUUUGCGUGAAAUGUACAUUUGUUCUUGUUACGACCUGGCAUAUUACCCAUCUGAUU